CAGGCCUAACACAUGCAAGUCGGACGGGAUUGGAGAGCUUGCUUUCCAUGAGAGUGGCGCACGGGUGCGUAACACGUAUGCAACCUACCUUUAUCAGGGGGAUAGCCUCUCGAAAGAGAGAUUAACGCCGCAUAAAAUUGGAUUAUGGCAUCAUAAUCUGAUCAAAUAUUUAUAGGAUAAAGAUGGGCAUGCGGAACAUUAGCUAGUUGGUAAGGUAACGGCUUACCAAGGCGACGAUGUUUAGGGGAUCUGAGAGGAUGACCCCCCACACUGGUACUGAGACACGGACCAGACUCCUACGGGAGGCAGCAGUAAGGAAUAUUGGUCAAUGGGCGGAAGCCUGAACCAGCCAUGCCGCGUGCAGGAAGACGGCCCUACGGGUUGUAAACUGCUUUUGUACGGGAAUAAACCUUGAUACGUGUAUCAAGCUGAAUGUACCGUAAGAAUAAGGAUCGGCUAACUCCGUGCCAGCAGCCGCGGUAAU
rnacentral:rRNA from 1 species